UGCCAGCAGCCGCGGUAAAACGUAGGAGGCGUGCGUUAUCCGGAAUUACUGGGCGUAAAGCGCGCGUAGGCGGUUGGUCAAGUGGUGCGUGAAAGCUCCUGGCUCAACUAGGAGAGGACGUACCAAACUGGUCAACUAGAGAUAGAUAGAGGCUAAUGGAAUUCCGGGUGGAGUGGUGAAAUGCGUAGAGAUCCGGAGGAACACCAGUGGCGAAGGCGAUUAGCUGGGUCUUAUCUGACGCUGAGGUGCGAAAGCGUGGGUAGCGAACGGGAUUAGAUA
rnacentral:rRNA from 1 species